CGCGGGGUAGAGCAGCUCGGUAGCUCGUUGGGCUCAUAACCCAAAGGUCGCAGGUUCAAAUCCUGCCCCCGCUACCA
rnacentral:tRNA from 1 species